GCUAGAGCAGACAUUAUCUCAAAAAACAAAACCGCUUCAGGAUGCGGCCUUGAUCUUCAGUCACCGGCUGCUGAGUCACAAGGGCACUUAAGCAACUACGGAGAAUGCCACAGAACUGAAGCUGGCCAACAACCAUGGGAGUGAACUUGGAAGCAGAUCUGCUAAGGCCUGCCAGGAGACGCAUACUCGAGGUUAGGAGAAGGCUCUCCAGUUAGGGCAGAGCCUUGAGAAUCCAGGCUGGGCGUGUGAUAACAAUCUCACGAAAGCCCAGGAACCAGACGCUCCACCAAGCUGAGCUCAGACUCCUGACAACAGAAACUAAGGUGGCAUCCAUCCUCAUCCUGUGCUUGGAGCCUGUCAUAUAUGAAUAUAGAACCGAAGUUCUUUGAAGAAGUGACAUCUACACUCAAGCUCAAGACUUUGCACAUGUUAGGUUUUGCUACGCUGCCCAGGAUAUCCUUGAACUCACUUGAACUUGGAACCCUCCUCUCUCACACUCCCG